rnacentral:rRNA from 1 species
AUGGCAGAUUAUCACCCCAACCAACGUGACGAGAUAAGAAGGAAGUAUUUGAUUUGGGGACCUAAUCAGCCCCGCAAGUUGGAAUUUCCAUACAGGGAGAUUGGGAAGAAGAAAAAGAAGAGGAGAUUCAAUUCGGAUUGGUAUGAUGAUUAUGCUUAUUGUCUAGAGUACAGCGAGAAGGAGCACAAAGCCUAUUUCUUAUGCUGCUAUUUGUUUAGGGACAACAUUAAAGACAGCCACCAUGGGCAUGAUGCAUUUGUAGUAGAAGGUUUCAACUAUUGGAACAAGACAGAGAGAUUUGUAACUCACGUUGGUGAUCGUAACAGCUUUCACAACAAAGCACUCAAGGAUUGCAAGGAUCUAUUAAAGCAAGAUCAAUCAAUCCCUGCAGCCAGGAAUAGACAAAGCCAAACUGAAAAGAAUGAGCAUCUCAUCCGGUUAAAUGCCGCAAUUGAUGUUUGUCGAUACUUGUUGCAUCAGGGACAACCUUUCCAUGGCCAUGAUGAAUCUAAAGAUUCUGAAAAUAAAGGAAAUUACCUUGAGUUGAUGGACUACACUAUUAAGCAAAAUGAUGUUGUUGCUAAGGCAUUCAAGAAUGCUCCAAAUAAUAAUCAAAUGUUGUCUCCCAAAAUUCAGAGAGAUAUUACCGAGUGCUUUGCAAAAGAAGUACUAGGCCAUGUGAUGAAAGAAAUUGGUAAUGAUGUGUUCAGCUUAUUCAUUGAUGAGUGUAGGGAUGUUUCUGACAAAGAACAAAUGGCGGUUGUUCUCCGAUAUCUUGAUAAGUGUGGACUGGUCCAAGAGAAGUUUGUUGGUGUUGUUCAUGUGGAGGAGACAACAACUUCUUAUCUCAAGUCUUGCAUAGAUUUAUUAUUUUCACAACUUGGGCUGAAUCUUGAACAAGUUAGAGGCCAAGGUUAUGAUGGAGCAAGUAAUAUGUCUGGUGAGUUUAAUGGUUUGCAAGCUAAAAUUAUGAAUGAGAACAAAUCAGCAUAUUAUGUACAUUGUUUUGCUCAUAAACUCAACUUGGUUGUUGUGGCUAUUGCAAAGAAGAUAUUCGAGGUCGGAGAUUUCUUUGAUAUGGUUUCAGUUUUGCUAAAUGUCGUGGGCGCGUCUUGCAAGAGAAAAGACCAACUUCGUGAGCAUCACCAAGAAGAAGUGAGAAAAUCAAUAGGAUGUGGAGAGAUUGCUACAGGGACUGGACUGAAUCAAGAAUUAUCUCUUCAAAGACCAGGUGACACUCGAUGGAACUCCCAUUAUAAAACACUGUUGGGUUUGUCCAAGAUGUUCUCAUCUAUGGUCAAAGUACUAGAAUAUGUCGAGAAAGAUGGCACAGAUACCGGAAAGAGGCGGCAAGCUAGAGGUCUUCUAAAAUAUUUCCAGACCUUUGAUUCUGCAUUUUUCUUACACAUGAUGAUGAUGAUAUUAGCUUUAACAAAUGGGCUAUCAAAAACCUUACAGAGAAAGAAUAAAGACAUUGUAAAUGCUAUUUUAGAUGUGGAAUCAACAAAACGAGAGUUAGAAAAACUCAGAACCAAUGAGGGGUGGGAUUCCCUUAUGAAGAAGGUAUGUUGUUUUUGUGAGAAGCAUGACAUUCCAGUGCUUGACAUGGAAGAUGCCUAUGUUAACCCAAAGAAGCCACGACAAAAGACUGGAAUUAGCAAUGAACAUUAUUAUCAUGUUGACUAUUUCUUUGCUGUGCUCGAUCUGUUAGGAGAAGAGUUUAAUGAGGUAAAUUCUGAGUUGCUUCUAUGCAUGUCUGCUUUGAGCCCAAGUGAUUUAUUUUGUCAUUUUGACAAGGAGAAGUUACUGAAAUUAGCAAAGUUUUAUCCUGAUGACUUCAAUCACAAAGAUAUGGUGACUCUGGAGCAUGAGCUUGGACUCUAUAUAGAUAAUAUACUCCAUGAUACAAGGUUUUCUAGCUUGGACAGAAUAAGUGACUUGGCUAAACUGAUGGUGGAUACUAGGAAGAAUCUCUCAUAUCCUUUGGUAUAUCGGCUUUUGAAGCUAGCUCUAACUCUGCCUGUUACCACUGCCACUGUCGAGAGAUGUUUUUCAGCGAUGAAGAUUGUGAAGAAUGCUUUGCGUAACAAAAUUGGUGAUGAUUAUUUGAGCCAUAGCCUAAUUUGCUUCGUGGAGAAGGAGCUGCUGGACACAAUUACCAAUGAAGUGAUUGUUGAUUGUUUCCAUAAGAUGAAAGAUCGUCGUGGGAGAAAUGAAACGUAA